rnacentral:rRNA from 1 species
AUACGAAGGUCCCAAGCGUUAUUCGGAGUCACUGGGCGUAAAGAGUACGUAGGCGGUUUGGUAAGUCAGGUGUGAAAUCCCGAAGCUCAACUUCGGAACUGCAUCCGAUACUGCCAGACUUGAGUAAUGGAGAGGCAGGUGGAAUUCUCGGUGUAGCAGUGAAAUGCGUGGAUAUCGAGAGGAAGACCAAUGGCGAAGGCAGCCUGCUGAACAUUGACUGACGCUGAGGUACGAAGGCUAGGGGAGCGAAAGGGAUUAGAAACCCGAGUAGUCC